AUUGAACGCUGGCGGCAUGCCUUACACAUGCAAGUCGAACGGCAACACGGGAGCAAUCCUGGUGGCGAGUGGCGAACGGGUGAGUAAUAUAUCGGAACGUGCCCGGUCGUGGGGGAUAACGUAGCGAAAGCUACGCUAAUACCGCAUACGAUCUACGGAUGAAAGCGGGGAUCGCAAGACCUCGCGCGAUUGGAGCGGCCGAUAUCAGAUUAGGUAGUUGGUGAGGUAAAGGCUCACCAAGCCGACGAUCUGUAGCUGGUCUGAGAGGACGACCAGCCACACUGGGACUGAGACACGGCCCAGACUCCUACGGGAGGCAGCAGUGGGGGAAUUUUGGACAAUGGGCGGCAAGCCUGAUCCAGCAAUGCCGCGUGCAGGAUGAAGGCC
rnacentral:rRNA from 1 species